GACGGUUGUGCCUGGCACAUAACAGACACUCAAAAAAUACCUUCUGAAUAGACAAGCAUCAAAGUGCAAGGCAGGAGUGAAGUUGGAAUGGAAGAGCAAGGAAAUCUAGGAAAAGAGCUUCAAAAUCCUUUUAUAUGUAUCCAUCUAAUCCUUGAGGUGGGUAUGAGCCUCUUUUGGCGGUCGGCAAGGAUGGGAAAGAUGACAUGAUUUCACGACUCAUAAAGAAAGUGAUGGAGCUGUAGCUUGAAUUCUUUUACUUCAAAUCCACAAUGCCAUGCCUUGCUCCAGUGAAGGACGGACUGCUGUUCUGUCUCCUAAAACCCACACAGCUCGCCUGGAGCUUCAAAUGUGAGAACACAUUCCAGCUGCAGGAUCAGAGGACUUUUCCUACAGCCCAUAAGUGCCUGCAGCUCUAUCGGAUUUGCAAAUCUACAAAAGAGAGCACAUCCUAUUGUUCCCGGUUUUGAGUUUUUUUAAUAGUAUGUCUUGUAAAAUGCUGGUUGCUGGUGGACAGGGGUGUUUUACAGAUAGGUGUGACUCAGGAGGGGAAAUGGGUGGGCAGAGACAGCCACAAGGAAUUCCACACAUGAAGGAAAUGCUCCCACUUGUGUUUUCUAUUUGUGUUUUAAAUUUGGGGAGCGACUCACAGGCACUCAGCAAAAGUAACUAAUUAUAUUAACCUUAUCAGUAGUGAGGUUUCCUGGUCUCUCAUCAGACACUCAGCUCACUGGCUGGUAUUUAAUUGGGAGCCUGGUGGCCAGUGAAAACAGUGUGGGAUGAGUCACACUUUAACAAGUUUUUAUAGUACAGCAACCUUGCUGUAUAAUAGCCAGACAUUAUUAAAAUUCAGAUAUGGUACACUGA
ensembl:lncRNA Novel transcript